rnacentral:lncRNA from 1 species
CUCUGGCCCAUGGCCAGUGGCAGGGUUGUGGUGCCAACUCCACUCUGCUGAGAGUGAGCCUAGGGUCUUGGUGUGUGAGUGGUGCUGUGGCCACCCGGUGCUCAGGUCACCAGGGCGGAGGCCUUGCCCUCUUGCCAGCUAGUUUGCUUUACUGGGUUUUGCUUUGGGGAAGGAUCUUCUAUAAAUACCAGUCCAUAGAGCACUUCAUCCUGCUUUCUGGGACGUAAGAACUCAUCCCUCUAAGAAGAGCCUCUGCAACAGAAACCGAAACAGUGCAUCUGCUUAGGAACAAAGCCACUCUCUGUCUGGUGUGGUCAGAGGGUCCCGGAUGUCCCCCCCUCCACUCUGCUGGGCAGGGGCUGUGCCUGCGGAGCUUCCUUCCAGGAUCUGUCCUUCUCAGCUUCCCCAGCCGAGCCGCCAGGGGUCCUGAGGACCACCAUGGCCCCUGAACACUCCUGGAGCUUUGGUGUCAGCCCUGCCACCCGAGAGAGAGAGAGAGACAUGCCUUGGUGUUACUUACUGCACUUGAGCCUGUCUCCUGGAGGGAAAUGAAGAUCAUGAGGCGACGACCCACUUAGAUUGCUGAACACAUCGAGUGGCCAUAGCCGUGAGAAGUGAGAGCUGCCCCUGCCCUACUGAUGGGGAGACAGGUACAGGUGACGGGAGCGUUAGCCGAGAUGUCCACCCAUCCACCACACGCCUAUGGGCACCCUUGUGCCAUGAGGGCUCAGCCUGGGCCCUGGUGGAAGCAGGUACCGGGUCGAUGCUACCUGCAGCCUCAUCAGAGCCUAGCUCUUGGGCAGCGGGCGUGGUUCUGGCCUCUUCACAGCCGAAGUGCAGACAGGGGCUGUGGGCCAAGCUCCUGAAAUUUCCGCCGACAAGGGCAUCUUUCAUGAGUCUUCCUUCUGGGCCCCCUGUUUUGAAACCAAACAAGGAUGCAGAUUUCUGCCAAUCCCGAUGAGCUCGGCAUGAGCACAGGCUCUGUUCCCACGCGGAGGUGAUGUCAGCCCCGAGCAGAGACAGGCGCUUGGCAUUCCACGAGCCUGGGCGGCCGCGUCAGGGACAGACACAGUGUCUGACAGCUGGCUUUGAGAAAUACUGACACCAGUUCACAGACUCCAUUCCUACCUUCAGGGACCCCCAGAAAGGUGAAAGGACCCCAGGUUGUGUGACCAGUCACCUGAUCCAGCCCCUUCUUGUCCUGGUUCUCCCAUCACAGAGGGGCCAGGGCAGGGCAGGAGUGGGCCUGAGAGCCCAUGGCUGGUUUCCACAUGCGCCAUGAUUAAGCUCCUGCACUCGGCAUUUCAGUAAAGCCAUCUUGUGGUACAGACAGUGCUGACAUCAGAACCUUCCGUGGAUCCAGCCUCCUACCUCCGGGUACCUGCUGUGUGGGAGUCACUCCCCUCCCCCAGCCCUGGAUGCUCCUCCAGUCAUCCCAGUAGCUCAGGGCCAGCCCCUGGGAUGUGUCUAAGAACAUGAGUGGACAAAUAGAUGGACUGCCCAGAGCAGGGUUUCUGAGACUUCGCUGCAGGAUAUGUCAUCGCCCUGCAGAAAACUACCCCCACCCUAGGACCCCCCGAGUUUUGGGGUUUGUAAGAAAUUACAUGUCUCAUUUAUUUUGAACAGGUGAAUUUUGCAGUCAAAUUCUUGUGUUCCAUUUUAGUACAAAAAUAGCAUUAUCUUUUCAAAAGUAACAUUUUGAAAUUACUCAUCAAAUAAAUUGAUGCUUCAGGAAGAGCUGUGUCAAUCCUGUAGGUUUAUAGAUCUGCGCUUCACAGGAAACCCCAGCAGGUCCCCGGCUGCCGGGCCCAGGUGAUCCUAAUGAAACUCUCCACUGCUCAGGGCCAGGUGCCUUGCUGGGAGCUUGCAAAGCCUUCACUCCCGCGGCCCUCACCCAGCCCCUGAAGGGCAGCGAUUUGUGUCUGAAGGUUCGCUGGGUCCUACUGCUGGCGCCCAUUUUACAGAUGUGGAAAAGCAAGCACAGACCAGUUAAGGAGCUUGGGCAGAGUGACUGGGAGACAGUUCAGCUCCGUAUCAGAAAGGGCUUUCUAAGCGUGCGUGCUGUCACAUGUAAGCGGCUCCCUGUGGGUGGUGGGCCCCCUUCCCCACCACCACCCUGACAUCACAGGUGUGAGCAGCCACCGCACACACUGGGCAUCACAUGGGCCGGGGAGCCUGGCUCUACAGCACAGUCCUUUGGCCAUGAAGAGGGGGUGGUAGUGAAGAUACAGAGUCCUUGGCUUGAUAGGAGGUGGGGCUGACAGCCUCCCAUCUUCCAGCCUGCCCCAAGACCACGUGACCUUUCCUGACCUGGUGCUUCUGUAAGUCCCACCUCCCGGGUGCCCCUGGGCGACCUUGGCCCAUAAAUCUCUUUGAUCCCCAUCUCAUCUUCAAAUGAAGGUUUACAGCUCAGCUUUUUAAAAAAAUAAAAAUAACUAGUAGGUUCUGGCUGGGCACGGUGGCUCACGCCUAUAAUCCCAGCACUUUGGGAGGCCAAGGCAGGUGGAUCACCUGAGGUCAGGAGUUUGAGACCAGCCUGGCCAACAUGGUAAAAUCCCAUCUCUACUAAAAAUACAAAAAAGUAGCCAGGCGUUGUGGUGCAUGCCUGUAGUCCCAGCUACUCAGGAGGCUGAGGCAGGAGAAUCACUUGCACCCUGGAGGCGGAGGUUGCAGUGAGUGGAGAUUGUGCCACUAUACUCCAGCCUGGGCAACAGAGCGAGACUCCGUCUCAAAAAAAAGAAAAAAAAAAAGGAGUUCUAACUACGUUCCAGGUAUGUAGCUGACGUGUAAUAUCUCAUUUAACCUGGCAAAGAGUUGGUAUCCGUGGCCUCAGAGAGGUUUAGAAAGUUGCCCAAGAUCACACAGGAGCAAAGAUUUAAACUCUGGACUUUUCUUCAUGUGUCAUGAAGUUUCCUCCUGAUUUUCAGAGACCCUUCCAGGCCUGCAAGCGAUUUGACAGCCAUCCCUCAGUGCCAACUAAACCUCCUGGGCAGCCUGACCCCAGGGUAGGAAGGAAGCGCCUACACCAAGGGGCCCUCUGGGAGCUGAGAUCAUCCUGGGGUUUUGUCGCCUGGUCUGACUUGUGCACUGGGAUCUUCUCGUGCCAGGCCAGGCCCCGCCCCCUCCCCGGGACUGGGCAGACCCCCUCCCUCAUGCAUCUGUGUCCACUGAGGCUUCCCUCACCUAGAAUGGCCCAUCCUUCAGGACCCAGCUCACUCUCAUCUUCUUUCCAGGGACUUAUCCCCCAAGGCUGUCCUCUGUUCUGGUGAGCUCAGGGCUCUUGGAACUUGGUCUGCAGUGACUCUGGGGUUCCUGGUUAGGACCCAUGUUCUCUAGGUCCCAGCACCCUGCACGGGGCAGUGUUUGUGACACUGGGCCCAGCUAUUCUGAGAGAAGGACUCCAACCUUCCAUCAGGUGUGGCCCGAGAUGUGGGUGGCCCUGGGCAUGGGGCAUGGAUGCAUUGUGACUUUCAUGGGCCUCUUCUGCAAAAAAAAAAUUAAAAUUAUACUUUAUGACUAUUGGUAGAAAGAUAAAUAUAUUAAUACAUUAAAAUUUCUCUUUGAGU